UACGUAGGGUGCAAGCGUUGUCCGGAAUUAUUGGGCGUAAAGAGCUCGUAGGCGGCCAGACAGGUCCGUUGUGAAAACUAGAGGCUUAACCUCUAGACGUCGAUGGAAACCGUCUGGCUAGAGUCCGGAAGAGGAGAAUGGAAUUCCUGGUGUAGCGGUGAAAUGCGCAGAUAUCAGGAAGAACACCCGUGGCUAAGGCGGUUCUCUAGUACGGUACUGACGCUGAGACGCGAAAGCGUGGGGAGCGAACAGG
rnacentral:rRNA from 1 species